UGAGUGAGAGAGAUUUAGGUAAGGUUCUCUGCCAGGAUCUAUGGGAUUUUCUCCGCACUACAUUUCAGUUUAUUUACAAGAUUGCCAUUGCUUUUAGCCAACUUUCUGGCUUCGUUUCUCCUUUCUCAAACCCUUGCAGCCACAACACCAUGUCUGGAAUAGCAUCGGCUCCUACUUCCUAAAACAAAAACCACACUUCAGUUCUGUAAUUCGAGAGCUUAUGUGAGAUGAAGGAGAGGAGCAGGGAGAUGGGCUCGAGUCGGGGAACGGCGGAAGAGAUCUUCAGGGAUUACAGUGGUCGGAGAACCGACGCCAUCCACGCUUUAACUAACGAGAGAGAGGUCAAGCAAGGUUUCGUCCAUUUCGGUCAACUUGGGUUACCCCCAACGUCCGGUAAGUUUUGGAGAAUGUUGUGUUCGAUGACCAUAAUCGAGAAGCUGAUUACUGAGAGAAAUCUGUUACUGGUCGUGAUUGAGGGAGCUUGAAAUGGCAAUUGGAUUUCAUUGUCGUUGACUUUCAGCUAUAUCGAUUAGUACUGAGUGAAGUACGAGUGGCAAUAGAGAAUAAUGUGAAAAGAUUUGUUACGAGUUAAAGGUGAAUCCAAGGAACCAGAGCAGGUCCAGCGACGGGGAAGGCCAUGAGGCAGCACAGAGGAAAAUCCUUCCCUCCUCUUCCAUACUCUUAAGUUCGCAACCUCUGCCACUUCCAGCUCUGGACUCGGAUCCGAAGCCCUCAUGUUUAAACAAGAAGCUUUGUAAUCAAAGGAUUUGUCGACCUAUUGUGGAAGGGGAUGGACAGAAGUCCCCGGCAGCAAUCUCUUUGUGAUCAUUGCUGGGAAAAUAUCGUGGUCAUUUUGAGUUCGGAUUCAGCUAGCAUGUGAUCUGUGCAAGCUAUCCAUAUAUGGAUCAAUGCUAUGGACUCUUCUCAACCUAUGGACCUCAAAUUUCAGUGCGUCUUCCAUCAUUUAUCCUACCUCACUAUUAGUCUCAACCUCGCCCGGGGGUGUUGUAGGCCGAUUUGAUGCUACGAGGCACUUUGUUUAGGGCUAUCUGAGGGAGAGAGGUGUUGGGUGUCUGAGACAAGGGGUUUCAGGUUAGGGAACCAAAACGUUCAAUUUCGUCAUGUUCAUUGUACAAUGUCUUCAUGUCAGCUCAGUUGAAUGUAUAUAAAAACAAAGUUGCAUAUCUUACCGACCUCAUUCACUCAUCUAUCCCUCACUUCAUUUAUGAUUGUGUUGAAUUUAUUCAGGUAAAAUGUAUCUUAUUCAUGCAGUUCAAGGUGAUGCAUUCAAGUCCAGCAGCAACGCGCAGGAACAUUUUCUAGUUUGCCCUAUUUUAACAUAGAAUAUAUAGUGUUAUUGUCAAUCGCUGCCUUGGUUUUGGCCUCAUGCGAUAAUAUCUACUUGAAGCUUAAAAGAAAACAUAAAAACGCAGGCCAAAAGGUGAGCAAGUUUUCCAUGAUCAUACAGAGAAGAGCUGGCCGAUACUUCCGCGACGGUGAGGCCAAUUUUAACACCUAAGUGAAGGAUGAAAAAGCAAAGACUUAUCAGCCAGAGAUCCCAUGAAAGAGGCUUCAAGAAAAUCCAUGUAUUUUUUAUCAUGUUAUUUAUUGGGAAGAAGUUUAUAUGUAAUUUUGGGAUGAAAAUUCACAAUCAAUUAACCAUUUGAAGCAAUUUCUUUG